rnacentral:lncRNA from 1 species
CUAUUUAUAAUGUAAUAUUUUUUUUGGUAAAGGAAAAAUGAGCCUAGCAAAAGCUAAAGCUUAACAAAACGAGGGAACGCACCCCCCGAACUAUCACUGCACAAGUAAACAUCAACACCGGGGGGGAGGGAUCGGUAAAACAUGGAGUCCAAGAGGGAGUGAGAGCACGAAAGUAGCAAGGAACUCUGCUGCGAAAUUG